UGGCUGCUUUGUGGAUUGUUCUCUU
rnacentral:piRNA from 1 species